rnacentral:rRNA from 1 species
UACGGGGGGAGCAAGCGUUGUUCGGAUUUACUGGGCGUAAAGGGCGCGUAGGCGGUCGUGACAAGUCACUUGUGAAAUCUCCGGGCUUAACUCGGAACGGUCAAGUGAUACUGUCGGACUAGAGUGCAGAAGGGGCAACUGGAAUUCUCGGUGUAGCGGUGAAAUGCGUAGAUAUCGAGAGGAACACCUGCGGCGAAGGCGGGUUGCUGGGCCGAUACUGACGCUGAGGAGCGAAAGCGUGGGGAGCGAACAGG